AGUUCGACCAUGGCUCAGAUUGAACGCCAUGGGCUGCUUACACAUGCAAGUCGAACGGCACGGACUUCGGUCUGGUGGCGAGUGCGGCGAACGGGUGAAAGUACGUAUCGGAACGUGCCUAGUAGCGGGGAUAAUCUACGCGAAAGCGUAGCUAAUACCGCAUACGCCCUUCGGGGGAAAGCGGGGGACCUUUCGGGCCUCGCACUAUUAGAGCGGCCGAUAUCGGAUUAGCUGCUGGUGGGUAACGGCUCACCAAGGCGACGAUCCGUAGCUGGUUUGAGAGGACGACCAGCCACACUGGGACUGAGACACGAAACAGACUCUACGGGAGGCAGCAGUGGGGAAUUUUGGACAAUGGGGAAACCCUGAUCCAGUUACUAAUCCCGCGUGUGCGCGAUGGAAGGCCUUCGGGUUGUAAAGCACUUUUGGCAGGAAGAGAACGGCACGGGAUAAUACCCUGGUGCAACUGACGGUACCUGCAGAAUAAGCACCGGCUAACUACGUGCCAGCAGCCGCGGUAAUACGUAGGGGUGCAAGCGUUAAUCGGAAUUACUGGGCGCAAAGCGUGCGCAGGCGGUUCGGAAAAAGAAAGAUGUGAAAUCCCCAGAGCUUAACUUUGGAACUGGUAUUUUAAUCACUGAGCUAGAGUGUGUCAGAGGGAGUGUGAAUUCCGCGUGUAGCAGUGAAACAAGGCGUAGAUAUGCGAGGAACACCGAUGGCGUAGGCGCAGCCUGGGAUAACACUGACGCUCAUGCACGAAAGCGUGGGGAGCAAACAGGAUUAGAUACCCUGGUAGUCCACGCCCUAAACGAUGUCAACUAGCUGUUACAAAUUUUCGGGCCCAGUAGCGCAGCUAACGCGUGAAGUUGACCGCCUGGGGAGUACGGUCGCAAGAUUAAAACCUGUGCGAAUUGACGGGGACCCGUGCACAAGCGGUGGAUGAUGUGGAUUAAUUCGAUGCAACGCGAAAACCUUACCUACCCUUGACAUGUCUGGAAUCCUGAAGAGAUUUGGGAGUGCUCGCAAGAGAACCGGAACACAGGUGUUGCUAUUGUCGUCAGCUCGUGUCGAGAUGUUAAGUCCUGCAACGAGCGCAACCCUUGUCAUUAGUUACGCCGAAAGGGCAAUUUGGAUGAGACUGCCGGUGACAAACCGAGAAGGUGGGGAUGACGUCAAGUCCUCAUGGCCUCUUAUGGGUAGGGGCUUUCGGCACGUCAUACAAUGGUCGGGACAGAGGGUCGCCAACCCGCGAGGGGGAGCCAUCCCAGAAACCCGAUCGUAGUCCGGAUCGUGUCUGCAACUCGACUGCGGAAGUCGGGACCGCUAGUGGUAACGUGAUCAGCAUGUCGCGGUGAAUACGUUCCUGGCCUUUGUACACACCGCCCGUCACACCAUGGGAGUGGGUUUCACUAAAGUAGUUAGCCUAACCGUAAGGAGGGCGAUUACCACGGUAGGAUUCAUGACUGGGGUGAAGUCGCAAUACCA
rnacentral:rRNA from 1 species